AUACGUAGGGGGCGAGCGUUGUCCGGAAUGAUUGGGCGUAAAGGGCGCGUAGGCGGCCCGGUAAGUCUGGAGUGAAAGUCCUGUUUUUAAGAUGGGAAUUGCUUUGGAUACUGUCGGGCUUGAGUGCAGGAGAGGUAAGUGGAAUUCCCAGUGUAGCGGUGAAAUGCGUAGAGAUUGGGAGGAACACCAGCGGCGAAGGCGACUUACUGGACUGUAACUGACGCUGAGGCGCGAAAGUGUGGGGAGCAAACAGGAUUCGAUACCCUGGUAGUCCACACUGUAAACGAUGAAUGCUAGGUGUAGGGGGUAUCGACCCCUUCUGUGCCGCAGUCAACACAAUAAGCAUUCCGCCUGGGGAGUACGGCCGCAAGGUUGAAACUCAAAGGAAUUGACGGGG
rnacentral:rRNA from 1 species